GGAGGCCUACGGGACGCAGCAGUGAGGAAUAUUGGUCAAUGGACGAGAAUCUGAACCAGCCAAGUAGCGUGAAGGAUGACUGCCCUAUGGGUUGUAAACUUCUUUUAUAUGGGAAUAAAAUGUUCCACGUGUGGGAUUUUGUAUGUACCAUAUGAAUAAGGAUCGGCUAACUCCGUGCCAGCAGCCGCGGUAAUACGGAGAAUCCGAGCGUUAUCCGGAUUUAUUGGGUUUAAAGGGAGCGUAGGUGGAUUGUUAAGUCAGUUGUGAAAGUUUGCGGCUCAACCGUAAAAUUGCAAUUGAUACUG
rnacentral:rRNA from 1 species